CUGGUUUUCUUCUGCGGUGGUUGUGCUCCUGUUUGUUUUCCUCACCCUUGCCCCCACCUGGACCACUGGACCUUCUCCAAAUAAACCCUGUUGGAUCUACCAAGCCAAGAGUCCUCUUGUGUAUCUGGAGGAAUCCUGCUGUGAGGAAUGCUCCCAGCUCAGAUAUAAGCCAAGCAACUGUUGGAAAGAGUAGUGAUGACAGGACAGUACCAGGAGACCUAAGUGUUGUACCUCAAAUCAACUGUGAGUAGCAGAAUCUCCAGAUCCUGGGAUGAUUUUUGUUGGAAGAGACUUUUAAGAAUAUCUAGACCCAUUGCCUGCCACGAGAAGGUACACAUUCCACUAGACCAAGUUGCUCCAAGCCCUGUCCAGCUUAGCCUUGAACACCUUGCAGGGUUGGGGCAGCCACAGCUUCACUGGGCAACCUGUGCCAGAGCCUCCCAACCCUCACAGGGAAGAAUUUCUUAAAAGCCUCUAAUCUUACCCUGUCCUCUGUCAGUGGGGAGCCAUUUCUCUUUGUCCUGGCACUGUAUGGCCUUGUUUAAAGUUCUUUUCCAGCCCUCUUGGAGCCUUUUUAGAUACUGAAAGGUUGUUAAAGGUCUCCCUGGAGCCUGCAAUUCUCCAAGCUGAAUAACUCCAACUCUCUCAGCCUGUCUCCAUAGCAGCGGUGCUCCAGCUGUUGGAUCAUCCUCGUGGCCUCCUAUGAAUGUUCCAGAUCCCAUCCAGCCUUUUAGUGUUCUUUCGGAUGCUGUCAGCUAGUUGACUUGUAGAUAACAAGAUGUGUCUCCCACACAUAGCCCAGUAAACUUUCUAGAAAAACUCCAGAUACAAUUAUCUGUUGAAGUGCACUGCUUAUUUAACUUGGUACUGUGGACAAGGAACAAUAACUCAUAACUCAAACAGAGAAUAUUAUGGUUGUGCAAACUCUAGUGCUUUUAUUUACUGGUUGUUACAUUGCUACAUUUUUUUGAAAUUUCAUUCGUUCUCUGCUCAGUAACUUCCUGACUUGACCUUAAGAGAUUUGUGCCAAAUUUAUACAGAUCUGUGUAUUUGUGCAUGGCAUUACUAGAGAAAUCAAAAUGCCCACACAGAAAUAAGGCAGAUGUGAGAGAGAAAUAUAGAAUAGUUGUGGUUCUCCUGCAGUCAUGGAGUGGUGGAAUGCCACCUAACAAGCUCCCUGGGUGACCGGAGGGACACACGAGAGGCUUUCCCUGAACGUCUUCCGAGGCUUCUCAGUUGGCAGUGCGUGCAGCAGCGUGGCUGACGCUGCAGCAAGUCACCACAAGAAUACUGAGAUAAAAAGUCAAAGGAUAGGACAUUCAUUUGUAGUCCAAGACAGCAUUACUCCAAGGAUGGGUGAGGGACAGGUGACACGGAACAGGGAGUCUGGCUAGGGUUUUUAAAGGGAGCUUGCUAGGGGGUGGGAAUCUCACACAACCAAUGGGGAAACACUUGGGGAGGAGUAUCGAGCUUAACAGAACCAAUAGGGUCAGUACAGGGGAGGGGAGAAGCCUUGAGGACAAAUUAACUGUUAGAACAAGGGUGAUUGUCAUCAAACAUUCUGGAACAAAAUGGGUGGCUCUGGGCUGACAGACAAGAGAAGGGGAUAGCACAAUUAGGAUUGACAGGGCCAUACAAGGGAAGGAGGGAAGGAACAGGGAGAUAGACACACUGAGUGGCAGCUAAGUGUUGGGAAAACUUAGGAGUAAACUACUUGGGAGAAACCAUUUUGAGGGGAUAAAAUGGGGGUACAUGGACCAAACCAAUGUACUUAACUAACAUUGAACCACUAACUUUUACAAUAAAACAACUGUAAAACUUACAAAAACAUACUGCUACGGGUAGUGACAAAGACAAUGCCACUUCAUGGAGUUCCUGCUGGUCAUUAAGAAGAUCUUGUCAAAUAUAUUCUAAUCCCAAACAAAUCUCAUUGAUGUUUAUGCUUGCUGUGAUUCUGAAGCCAACAUAGAUGUAUACACUGACAUCUGUCACUGACCUGACUGGUAGCUGUGUUUGGUCCAGAGUUAUCUGCCAAGCAGGGGGAAAACCUCCGCCCUGGGAGGAUGUUGGCAUCACCUUCAGCAGAACUUCACAGAGAAGUGGUCAUCAAAAAUACACUGAAAAGCCUGAAAACCUUGUUAAAAAUCCUAAAAUAGCAAUAUGUUUUGUCAAGUGCAGUCAGGUCUGCUUAAUCACAAUUUGUUUGCCAACAUCCAAU